UUCCUUAAUUUACAAUGGAUAAAUUACUCAGACCGAAAGAGUUAGACAUUGAUCCUAAUGCUCCUCUGGCCUCAGAAAAAUGGACUCACUGGUAUGACACAUUUCAGAAUUUUCUUUCGUCCAUCAAGGAUAUUAACGAAGACUUUAAACUAAAGUUGUUGAAGAAUCACGUAUCUGCUACGGUUUAUAUGCUCAUCAGUGAUGUAUCGUCCUAUUCGAUGGCCAUAGACACACUCAAGACUACUUACAUUAAGGUAAAGAAUGACAUUUUUGCUAGACAUUUGGUUGCUACAUGUAAACAGCAGCCGGGCCAAACGGUAGAGUCCUUUAUGCUAAAGUUGCGAAGCCUGGCCCGGGACUGUGACUUUAAAGAAGUAACUGCUGAACAGCACAGAGACAUUUGCAUUAGAGACGCCUUCAUAACUGGUCUGGCAUCCAACACUAUUAGACAGCGGUUACUGGAAAAGACAUCUCUUACUCUACAAAGCGCUUUUGACGAAGCUAGAGUGUUAGAAACAGCGACAACCAUGCUCAGGCUUACAAUUCAACGAACGAAAUCUCCUGUGGGGCAAUGAAAACACCAACUAGCUCCCAUCUAGAAACAUACAUUUCUAAUGAAGACCAGGAAUUAAAUGCCAUUAAGUCGCUAUGCUACUUCUGUGGUAGGAGGAGACACUCUAGGACUGAAUGCCCUGCUCGAAAUGCAUUAUGUCAUCAGUGCGGUAAAAAUGGACACUUCCAAACUGUUUGUAAAUCAAGUAAAACAACAGCCAACAAAGCUGACAGCAAAAUAUCACUGACCAGUGUGAUAACUCCAUGUACCUUGUCAUCAACGCAUUUCUCUGGGCUUACACAGUCUACGGCACAAGUGAACGUCAACGGGUUGCUGUUGCAAGCUCUCAUAGACACUGGCAGCUGUGAAAGCUACAUAUCAGAAGCCAUCGUCAAGAGAAAUAAAUGGCCAGUACGUCCGUCUACAAACAGAAUAUUCAUGGCCACUACACAUCUUUCUGAAAAGACAUUAGGACAUACAUUUGCCGAUGUCCAGUACAAGAGAGAACAUUACAAAAAAGUCAAACUUUCUCUACUUGCUGGAUUGUGCUCGGAUGUAAUCCUUGGUGUAGACUUUAUAAGUCUUCAUAAGGAAUUGACCAUACCGUACUGAGGAAAACGCAAUCCUCUACACAUCUGUGGUCUUAAAGCAGCACGAGUCGAAACGCCUAGCCUAUUCAGUAAUCUAACUUCUGACUGCAGACCGGUGACUACUAAGUCCCGAAAGCACUCAAUAGGUGAUAACAAAUUUAUUGAGUCUGAAGUUAGAAAACUCCUCUCGGACAAAAUCAUUGAACCUUCAAAGUCUCCCUGGAGAGCACAGGUGCUGGUGACAACAAACGAGAGACAUAAAAGAAGGAUGGUCAUUGAUUACAGUCAAACAAUAAAUCGCUUCACCUUACUGGAUGCAUACCCAAUGCCCCGAGUCGAUGAACUGGUAGAAUGGAUAUCCAACUAUUCCGUUUUUAGUACACUAGACCUCAAAAGUGCUUACCAUCAAAUACCAAUCAAAUACCAAUCAAGACUGAGGAAAGGCCGUUUACUGCAUUUGAGGCAUGUGGCAAACUUUACCAGUUCUGUCGCAUCCCUUUCGGUGUUGCAUGCUUUCAGAGAACAAUAAAUCAAAUUAUUGAGAAUGAAAAGUUGCAGGACACCUUUGCAUAGUGGACAAUGUAACGGUAUGUGGUCAUGAUAAAGAGUCGCACGAUGAGAAUAUGCAAAGAUUUCUAGAUGCUUCUAGAAAGUAUGGGAUCACAUUUAAUGAAGACAAAAGUACGAUAGCCACUGACAAAGUUUGCCUAUUGGGAUACAAAAUUUCCAAAGGCCUACUCAAGCAAGACCCUGAAAGAUUCCAGGCUUUAAGAAACCUUCCUCCCCCUCAUGAUAUGCGCUCACAAAAACGGAUCGUGGGCAUGUUGGCGUACUACUCACAGUGGAUCCCAAAUUUUUCUAACAAAAUAAAUGUUUUGGCAAAUAACACGUCGUUCCCUCUUUCAGAAACAGUAAAGACAGCCCUUAACGAAUUAAAGCAGGAGCUGGAGAAAGCUGCCAUCUUCACCAUCGACUAUACUCGACCUCUGACAGUUGAAACAGACGGCUUCGGAUGUUGCAGUAGCUGCCACCCUCAACCAGGAUGGCCGUCCCGUGGCGUUCUUUUCAAGAACACUCUCGAAAAGUGAAAGGCGGCACUCAGCUAUAGAAAAAGAAGCUUAUGCAAUUGUAGAAUCUUUAAGGAAAUGGCACCACUACUUAGUAGGAAAUCGCUUUACCCUUGUCACGCUCUGUGGCCUUCAUGUAUGACAAACAGAGCAAAGGGAAAAUAAAGAAUGAGAAAAUUCAAAGGUGGAGACUGGAACUGAGCUGUUUCCACUACGAUGUCUUGUAUAGACCAGGCAAACACAAUGUAGCGGCUGAUACGUUUUCUAGAAACGGGUGUGUGUCAGCUAUGAGUCGAAAUGAAUUGAAACUGCUCCAUGACUCUCUGUGUCAUCCGGGAGUAACAAGACUAUGGCAUUUAGUGCGAGCGAAAAACUUACCUUUCUCUUGUGAAGAUGUUAGGCUGGUUGUCAACCAGUGCAGAAUCUGUGCCGAAGUAAAACCCAGAUAUUUCAGUAAUUGUAAUGGAACUCUAAUUAAGGCGAUGCAACCUUUCCAGAGACUAAGUAUGGACUCCAAAGGACCGCUCCCUUCUACAUCUCGGAACACAUACCUGCUAACUAUAGUUGACGAAUUUUCAAGAUUCCCGUUUGCAUACGCCUGUUCUGAUAUGUCGGCUUCAACAGUAAUCAGAUGUCUAGAUAAUUUAUUUGGACUUUUCGGAAUGCCUGACUAUGUACACUCUGAUAGAGGUACCUCAUUCAUGUCAAGAGAGGUGCAGGAAUUUUUACACGAGAGAGGGGUGGCCACAAGCAGGACGACCCCUUAUAAUCCCAGAGGAAACUCUCAAGUAGAAAGGCUAAACGGGUCAUUAUGGAAAGCUAUAACUCUGGCCUUAAAAACUCAAGGACUCCCGGUUUCCAAAUGGGAGCAGGCGUUAAACCAAGCCCUGUACUCUCUUCGUUCUCUGCUCUGUACCGCUACAAACGAGACACCUCACGAGAGAAUAUUCAAGUUCUAUCGCAGGUCCACCUUCGGCAAAUCACUCCCGACAUGGUUAGCUCAACCAGGAAAAGUGUUGUUAAAAAAGGGAGUCCGUGCAUCAAAAUAUGACGAUGGUACAAUAGCUGUGGACUUAAUCACAUGCAACCCACAGUAUGCCAUUGUAAGACUUCCUGAUGGAAGAGAAGAAACGGUGUCAUUACGACAUUUGGCCCCCGCUCCAAGAGAGGGAAAAUCAGAGGUGUAUCAACAUAUGGAACAUGAAGACUUUGAGCCGGAGACAAACCCUAUCACACAGAUGCAGGUGCCUACUGACCAUGUGACUAUGGAACCAAUGGCUGCUCCUAACACUCAUGUACAACAAGGGGAAAAUGGACAUCAAGAAGAAGUAAAUGCAGGGGCUGAGUCUCCUGUUAGAGAGCCGCCGAUGUCACCAACUCCAAGCGACGGCAGUAUUGGUCCUGGUAGAUAUAACCUAAGACCAAGAACAAGCAGACCUAAUUAUUUAAUUAUUUUGCCAUAUCACAAGUUCUAACUCAGUAAUUGUAGGCUUAAUUAAUAUGACACACUUUGAACUGAUCAUUUUAUAGUGUAUAGCUUUUCUAGUUAGACUUUUUGUAUUGUAUUACUUAUUACAUUAUUAUUCAAGACAACUGGUCUUAAUAUUUGUAUGCAUAAAAUGACACUUAGGGACUGAUAAUUUUAUAGUGUAUAACGUGUUUGUUUGUAGUUAUACAAUGCUUUUCAAUAGAGUAACUCUGUAUAGAUACUAUUAGAUACUAAGGCCUCUUAUAUCGCUGUCCUUCACUAUUAUUUACAUGUUUAUGUUCCUAUAACUUUUAGGCGGGGUGAUUGUAGUGUAACUGAGUUGAUUUUCUGCGUGCGUCCAGCGUGUCUGAAGGUCAUGGCCAUUGUGUGUGUUUCAUGUCCAGUGUGUGUGUGUGUAUAGACUGCAUCAGUGGUAUGCUAGACGUGCUGGUUUCAUUCACUGUUUACUGUAGUCUAAUUGUGUCGACUAAAGCCACGUUAUUGGUAUUCUAGUCGUUAGCAUUUCAUUACAAGGGAUAAACACACUAUAUGAAGAACAAAAUUAACUAUAGAAAAGAAAUGAGUGAAUAUAUAGGUCUAUAUAUAAUAGUACCGUAAUGUCUAUACAAUAGUAUAGUAUAGAGAACUAAAAAGACUGCUACAAUGAGUGGUAAAUUUUUUUUAAACCAGUUUAAACUUAUGUAAAAACGUGCUCGCUGAUCGAAUGUGUCGUCUGACAGAAAUGAUAUAAUCGAAUGAAUAUUUUUAGUCUUUUCUAUUCAUGAUCUAUUUUUAGCUAUCGAGUCAUUCAGGCAAAGCGAGACAACUAACGGGCUACACAGAGUUACCCUACUUUGGUUGACUGAGUUCUUGGUAUUGCGGCCACCGCGUGUGUACAUUGUUGUCAUUGUCCACGCAUGGCGUGUUAUCUAUUGUGUCCUUUUUAUUUAGCAGACGAUAAGUUAAAGUGUGUUGAUCUUCGUCCUGUACGGGUGUAGUAAGUAAUUGAUGCAUUCAAUGUCAUGUAAUAAAGGAAUAGAAUUCCUGUGUUGAAUCAUUCUCUGAUCGAUACUGGAACACUUUAAGUUUCCAUAAAUAUGAUACUGGAAUUUCUGAUGAGACAAUAUAUCAUAUCACAUACGCUAGUUUCUAGAGCCAGGAUAAGUUUGACUUUCAUCUGUUUUAGGACAAGGCUUCAAUUACAAGUUUGCUUUUAGCAGAUCUUCAAUAAGUUCUAAGUGAUAUCACAGUCUCAUCUCAACCAUGUCAAAUAACUCAUUAACAGUCAGCAAGAAACAAGAGAUUUCAGGCAAUGAGAAGAAAAAGCCAGGACAAAAAGACCAAUCAGCACAGAGCGCUCGGUUAGUUCAAAAUAUGAACUCAGCAGACCCGAACUGCAUCUCUGACUUGAAAUCUGUGAUUCAAGAAUUGAGGCUAGAGAUUCAAUGCAUCAUGGAAGAACAGCAAAAAGAACUUGUCGCUCAACUCAACAUUCAAAAAGGUGACAUGCUACAAAGGGAAGCAAUUCUUCAUAGUCAAAUUAACUCUCUCAAGAACGACAUGGAAAGUCUAUCAGAGAAAUUAAGGCAAUUACUUCAAACAGAGAGUGAAAGAAAGUUGGAGCUGGAGAAGUUGUCCUCAGAAAGACAACAUCUGCUGGAGAUGUUAACUGAAUUACAGAGAGAACGGGAUGAGAAAGACUUGUGUAUUCAUUGUUCUGUCAACAAAAGUAAAGUCACCAACGUUUAGACAGAAAUUUGCCAUUGGCUUCCAUUAGUAGACUUUCACCAUUACAUUGUCAGUUCCAAUGUUCAUUGAAGGACUCUCAGGUGACUUCCUAGCCUUUCAACCAGAAGUGGGUGUUGAAAUAAAAAAAAAAUAGCUCGGAUUUGGCUCAUCUUAUUUUUUAUUUUUUUUUAGAUUUACAAACCCC